rnacentral:tRNA from 3 species
GCCAAUGUAGCUCAGAGGUAGAGCACUUCCUUGGUAAGGAAGAGGUCACGGGUUCAAAUCCCGCCAUUGGCU